rnacentral:lncRNA from 1 species
GGGUUUGAUUUUUCCAUAUGUUGGAGCCAAAAAUCAAAUCUUAGAUUAUGAGACAUCUGAAGAGUGUCUUCUUGGCAUGAUCCUGGUGGCAAGUUUGGAGGUGGCUAGACUUUGGCAUGAUCGUUCCUUGAGUUCGAAGCUGACAGUGUUCUUGAGAAGACAAGGCUGCGGUGGUGCACUAGUUAGGAAGAACCUUGGCCAACUUCCAUGUGGAUCACCAUUGAAGGACUUCUACUUUAAAGUCUCAUGGAGAUCACUAACAUGCCACUUUUUUAUUUUAGUAAAAGUAUAAAACUCUAUCUCUUUUGCAUGCUUGUUUUAUUUGGAUUGACUUCGGUAAGAUGAUUCUAGGGUUUGGGUUCGGCUC